ensembl:lncRNA
CUCAGUUUAGAGAGUCAGCAGACAUCAGUGAGAAGAGAAGCUUGAAGAAUAAAGUAAAACAGUUAUUCUGUGGAGGGAGAGACUGAACGUCUCGAGCAUCGAUCAUGUUUGUUCUCAUCUGGUCGGCUCUGUUUGUCUCUGUAAAAGGCAGCAUUGCUGACACAGGUGCCUCAGCCUGGGGACAACAACACUGUGUUGGAAGAUACUGUGUUACUCUGAGUGAGCAAGAACUAACAGCAGAGGCUGGACUCUGUGUUGUAUUCCUGUGUUCUUUCACUACUGCUGAUGAGUUUACACCCAAACAUACAAUUUGGUACAAAUGUGAAGCAUCUCAAACAAAAUGUAGUGAUUCUUACAUAAUAUUUCACAGCAACAAAAACACAGACAAAAAAGCUCAGUCUGGGUUUGAAGGACGAGUGUCACGUUUGGAGCCUGAUGUGAGUCAGAAAAACUGCAGCAUCAUCAUUAAUGAUCUGAAAGAGUCUGAUUCUGGAUCAUAUCAGCUCAGAGUUACUGGUGUACGGAAUGAACAACAAGAUGGAUUUACAUUCAUUCCAAGAGUAACUGUCUCUGUUAAAGGAAAUUGUUGACCUGAUUCCCACACUGACAGAGGGACAGCAGGCCACACGACCUGCACUGCUCCUGGUCUCGGCUCUGGAUCUGUUCCUGAAAUCACCUGGACAUGGAGAGGAGCAGGAGGGACUGAAUCUUACAUUACAGGAAACAGCACUGAUUUCAAAACUGAGAAUCUCACGGCUUUCACACAGAGACACAUCUCAACUUUGACCUUUAAAUCUUCAGCUGAGCAACACAACACCACUGUUACCUGUAAAAUCUGCUUCACAGGUGAAACAACUACAGAAGAGGCUUCAACUUUGAAAGUAAACUAUGUGAAGGAAGUUAACAUCACUGGGGUGACAAGUGUGAGGGAGGGAAAUGUUUUGAAUCUGACCUGCAGUGUUGUAAGUUUCCCUCCAGCUCAUAUUGUAUGGAAAAAAAAGUUCCUUCCAACACAAACCUUCAGACCAGAAACACUGACCUGCACAAUGAUACAGUUACACUCGUCACCCUGAAUGUGACAGCAGAAAAUUCUGGGCAGUACAUCUGUAUGGCAAAACAUCUGGACAAAACACUGACUUCAUAUGUCAAUGUGACUGUGACAUGGCAUACAAAGAUCCAGAAUGGCUCUGGAUGUGUGCUUCAGUCUGAGGUUUUGACCUGCGUGUGCAUCAGUGAAGGAUUUCCUUUACCUACCAUCAAAUGGCCGCUCCUAGAAAACCACACUCAGUACAUUCUCAUUACUACUGUGUCAAACCACACAGUCAACAGCACUGUCAGUCUCACUGUAAAAAACCAUGGCAACAGCACUGUUGAAUGUGUAAGCAACAAUGGACAUGUAGAAGAAAGAGAGAUCCUGCUGGUCCAAGAAAACUUGUCUGAAAAACAUGCAGCUCGUGUGAAACAUUGUGGUUCUUACAGUACAGUUCUUCCCUGGAUUGUUGCUGGUGUAUCUCUCACUUUGAAUACCUUCUGCAUAACCUACAUAUGGUUCCUUUGGAAUUCAAGAAAAAAGUCGAACCUACAUCAGGAGGACAGAACCUACAUGUCACUGCAAAAAGUGGAUGUGUCACCAGAUUAUGAUGUUAUUGCACAACGUAUAAACUGAAAAGUCAGGUUUCAGAUAGAUGUGUGAUUGUAAUGGCAGCAUGUUGUCAAUACUGUGAUGAUGUAAUUAAUUUGUUUCAUUGUCUUGAUUAAAGCAGAUACUCGUAUAUUUACCCCCUGCAGAUACUCUGGUAUUACAAAUUUUAAUUUAAAUUAUUCAAUUAAAACUUACUAUUUGUUAAUUAUUUUUUACAUUGAAUUGUAAACAAUGAGAUUAUUUUAAAUGUAAUAUAUCACACUUUCUAUUUCAAUUUAUACAUAGAGUUUAAUAAAAUUGUUCACCUGUCUACAGCUGC